UACGGAGGGUGCAAGCGUUGUCCGGAAUCACUGGGCGUAAAGGGCGCGUAGGCGGCUCAUGAAGGCUGUGGUGAAAGUCCGGGGCUCAACCUCGGAUCGGCCGUGGCGACUCGUGGGCUGGAGCACUGUAGAGGCGGAUGGAAUUCCGGGUGUAGCGGUGGAAUGCGUAGAGAUCCGGAAGAACACCGGUGGCGAAGGCGGUCUGCUGGGCAGUUGCUGACACUGAGGCG
rnacentral:rRNA from 1 species